rnacentral:rRNA from 1 species
UACGGGGGGGGCAAGCGUUGUUCGGAAUUACUGGGCGUAAAGGGCUCGUAGGCGGCCAACUAAGUCAGACGUGAAAUCCCUCGGCUUAACCGGGGAACUGCGUCUGAUACUGGAUGGCUUGAGAUUGGGAGAGGGAUGCGGAAUUCCAGGUGUAGCGGUGAAAUGCGUAGAUAUCUGGAGGAACACCGGUGGCGAAGGCGGCAUCCUGGACCAACAUUGACGCUGAGGAGCGAAAGCCAGGGGAGCAAACGGG